UAGGGCGAUCCGUUGGCGCAUGAGAGAAUAUCUCACAAUUUGCUUUUCAGAAUAACCUUGAAUAUUUGAGGAAUGGCCUCAUUUAAUCUCCAGUAGCAAAAUUCUGAAUAGUAUUGGAGGUGUUAUGCGUCUGGAUCGUCUUAC
rnacentral:ncRNA from 1 species